rnacentral:misc_RNA from 1 species
CGGAGGUGGAGCACGCUGUCGAAUCUCUCCUGUCACGCCUUCAGGCUCGAGCUCUUGUUCGCUCGGUCGCUCGCCCCGCCUGCUUGCUCCCUCCCCGAGCAUCACUAUUCCUCUCCCUUUUUUCUCUCUCCCCUUUGCAUUGGGAGAACUUUUCGUUCUUUUACUUCUUGGUUUCGCACUAUUGAAAAGCUACUUUAAUAUGGAUAUUUGUUUUAUAUAUAUAAAUGAAAGGGGGACUUCAGCAGUGUGAAAAAAUAAGGACUCUUCAGUUCUUAAGAGUUUGAGGAUAGUGAAAAAAGAACAGCGCCAAAAGUUGAAUGACACUCUUUUCUCUUGCUUCUCUCUUUAUAUAUAUCACAAUCUUCUGGUUCUUCGUCCUCGACGUGCCGCUGCCGAAGCGAAGAACACGAACGCAGCUCCACACAAUAAAAAUAUACAUGUAAGAUUCUCUCCUAUGACCGAAAUCGUCCUUAGCUGUGUGUAAGGGCUGCAGAGGACCGUCUCGACCCGACCGAAGACAAACCACAAACAGAAAGACGAUCAAGCACUUGGGUCGCAAAACAUGUGUACCUUUCGCUAAGAAAAGUUGACACUCGCCACCCAAUCGCUCUCCGUUUCCCUAGUUUGAGAAUAUUCAAGAAAAUAGAAACUUUCUCAAAGAAUUGUUUUUACAACAUCUCAGGUCUCUAUAUCUACUUGUCUCCAUGUAGUCUUCGCAAGUUAGACUGAAAGCGCAAAAGACACCGCUAGAGCCAUCCCCGGCCCCAUACUGCAGUGUCGAAAAGGCGGAAUGCAGUGAAGAUAAAAGUGAAUAAGGUCAAGUCACGAGCGAUGCGGGGUCACUGACCUCCUCCCCCACAGCGUCGACGUGCCGUGAAAUCACCCAAGAUGGCAGGGGAAGUCACGGGGUCAAAUCCAAACCAUACAAAUACGGCGGGAUCAGACCGAAGACGCGACCAAUCACAACCCUCGGCGAGUAAUAGGGACACGCUCCGAGCCAAUGAGAAUCCUCUUUUCAUCCUGGAGAAUGCAUUCGUCGAAUCAAACUGUUCGGAUUUCAUGGACUUGGCUUCGAUGAACGGAUCCUGCGGGAAUUUCACGGUGGCUUCGAACUUCACCAAUUCUACAAGCAUGGCGGGGGAUUCGUACUACUUUUAUGAGACGGAGCAGUUCGCCGUGAUGUGGAUUCUGUUCAUCUCCAUCGUGGUGGGGAACGUGGCGGUGAUCGUGGCGCUGAUGCUCUCCAAGACCAGGAAGUCCCGCACGAAUUUCUUCAUCAUGCAUCUUGCGCUGGCGGAUUUAUCGGUAGGCCUCAUUAGCGUACUGACAGACAUAGUAUGGAAGAGCACAGUGUCUUGGCACGCGGGAAACGUUGGUUGUAAAGCAGUAAGAUUUGCACAGGUGCUUGUGACAUACUCCUCCACAUACGUCUUGGUGGCUCUCAGCAUCGACCGAUAUGAUGCUAUUACACACCCAAUGAAUUUCUCAGGAAGCUGGCGUCGAGCUCGAAGGUUGGUGGUCGUGGCGUGGCUCCUGUCAGCUGUCUUUGCCUCCCCGAGUCUAGUGUUCUUCAUGGAGGCUUAUGUAGACGGAGUUAACCAGUGUUGGAUCGACUUCCCAGAGGCUUGGCAAUGGAAGCUCUACAUGACGUUGGUCGCUAUCACCGUCUUCUUCUUCCCCACCAUCAUUAUCGCCGCCUGCUACGCCAUCAUCGUCUACACCAUAUGGAGCAAGAGCAAAAUCAUGACGGUUACCAGUAAAGCCAUGGGUAGUAAAAACGGCGAGAAGCGGGGCGCCGCCGUACACGAGGACGACUCGAGGCGGGCUAGCUCUCGAGGGCUCAUCCCCAAGGCCAAGAUCAAGACGGUCAAGAUGACACUCGUCAUUGUCUUCGUGUUCAUCCUAUGCUGGUCGCCAUACAUCGUGUUCGAUUUGCUGCAAGUGUAUGGCUACGUGCAGACCCAGACGCAGACGAGCGUUGCCGUGGCAACUUUCAUCCAGUCUCUGGCGCCUCUCAACUCAGCUGCCAACCCUAUCAUCUAUUGUCUAUUCUCGACUCACAUAUGCCGUAAUCUCAGAAGAAUCCCUGCGAUAAACUGGGUGGUGACGAGAGUGUUCCCGUGCCUGGCGUGUGCCCAGCAGCCCCUGGAACCGGACGGGCCGUUCCGCCGCUACGGUACCGAGUACACGACCAUGUCUGACGCCUCCAGCCGACGCCACACCCUCACCUCCGUCAGGUAUAACGCCAGUCCCAUACCUGUUAAGCCUGCCUCUGGCCCUCUGCCGAAGCGCCCCCUUGGCCAGCGAGAGGAAGCCGUAGCGCUGAAGGGGUAAACGCCCCCCUCCCCCACACCCCUCUUUAAGAUAGCCCUACCACGGUGGACAGUCAAGCUCAAGAUCUGACCCCCCCCCCCCAUACCAUCCCCAACCCCUUUUGCUUUUUCGUUGAAAUAGUUAAUUUAAGAUGAGAUUCUCGCACGCCACUGUCCUACCCCCUCCCCCCUUUUCUAGGGGUAAAAAAAAGAAAUGUAAAAGAGAAAAAAAACAACUACCCAAGGAUGAGCUACUGUCCUCCCGGGGUUCCAGUGCAACAUAGGGGAUGAGGAGGAGUACAACCCGAUGCGUCAGGGCGUCGAACUCAACAAGGGCGUGACGCAGACGACGACGGUCCCGAAGGAGUACCUCAACACCGAGCUCCUUACUUACAACACCAAGAGGAAGCACGAUAGUUACAUCAGGGGAUCC